rnacentral:rRNA from 1 species
UUUGAUCAUGGCUCAGAUUGAACGCUGGCGGCAGGCUUAACACAUGCAAGUCGAGCGGGGGAAGGUAGCUUGCUACCGGACCUAGCGGCGGACGGGUGAGUAAUGCUUAGGAAUCUGCCUAUUAGUGGGGGACAACAUCUCGAAAGGGAUGCUAAUACCGCAUACGUCCUACGGGAGAAAGCAGGGGAUCUUCGGACCUUGCGCUAAUAGAUGAGCCUAAGUCGGAUUAGCUAGUUGGUGGGGUAAAGGCCUACCAAGGCGACGAUCUGUAGCGGGUCUGAGAGGAUGAUCCGCCACACUGGGACUGAGACACGGCCCAGACUCCUACGGGAGGCAGCAGUGGGGAAUAUUGGACAAUGGGGGGAACCCUGAUCCAGCCAUGCCGCGUGUGUGAAGAAGGCCUUAUGGUUGUAAAGCACUUUAAGCGAGGAGGAGGCUACUUUAGUUAAUACCUAGAGAUAGUGGACGUACUCGCAGAAUAAGCACCG